rnacentral:rRNA from 1 species
UACGUAGGGUGCGAGCGUUGUCCGGAAUUAUUGGGCGUAAAGAGCUCGUAGGCGGUCUGUCGCGUCGAUCGUGAAAACUUGGGGCUUAACCCUGAGCUUGCGGUCGAUACGGGCAUGACUGGAGUUCGGCAGGGGAGACUGGAAUUCCUGGUGUAGAGGUGAAAUUCGUAGAUAUCAGGAGGAACACCGGUGGCGAAGGCGGUUCUCUGGGCCUGUACUGACGCUGAGGAACGAAAGCGUGGGGAGCGAACAGG